UGUUUUGCGCUAGCGGUGAGCACAGCUGCGUUACGAUGACAGCCUCGCGCUUUUUCAGUAAAAGAGACGUCAUUUACAAGCUUCAAUAAACGUGCAUCGGGAAGAGAUAAGACGGCGAUAUGUGUUGGUGUGCGUGGUGGUGAGGGGGCCCCCUGCAGGCCGUACAGGGGAUCAUGUUGCCCAGGAGAUGGCGGCGCUGUGCUCCUUGGCCUUCAUGCGAAGCGCAGCGAUGCUGGACGACUUGCGGUCGGGGUCCAUGUUGAGGUCGUAGCCGUUGAUGCCGCCGCCCAUCCCCGGACUGCCGAACAGGCCACCCAUGUGCGUCUGUCCCAUGUGGCCCCCGGGACUCUGUACGCCCAGGAAGUCGGACACCCCGCCGGCGUGCGGGUGGGGGGUCAUACAGGGGGUGACGGUGUCGCAUGGCAUCACGCAGCCUGGCACGGGAGAUGCAGCGCUGCUGCCCCCUAUCCAAGAAGGACUCUGGAUCUGGAACACAGCAGAGCAGGAAGGGGCAUGACCCUGCCCCCAUGACCCCAGUGUUCCAUAACCCCUGAUCCUUGACCUAUCCUCAGAGUACCUGUGCAUAGUUCUCAGCGCGGGUAAGGAGAGGAAGCUCGUAGGCUGUAGAGAAGUGCGUG